rnacentral:lncRNA from 1 species
GCCUGUGUUUGCUCGUAUGUAUAUAAAUGUAUUUAUGUGUGUGUGUGUGUGUGUGUGUCUUUGUAUGUGCUUAUACUGUAUGUGUGUUGCGUGAAUGAAGUGACUUAACCUACACCAGCUGUUAUUCAGAACAAUACGGGUAUAGAUAUGUAGGUUUUUUCUCCUUAUAUAAAUGAUUUAUUUUCCUUUAUACAGAACAUAUUAACUCUUGUUCUGUGGUACAGUUUGAUGCAUAAUGAUUUGGGUUUAACACACAAACACAUAUACAGUAUAUAUAUAUAAUUUCCUUCUAGGAUUAUUAUAACUUUUUAAACUGUUAUUUCCUACUUUACAUUAUAUUUAAGCUCCACAACCUGCUAAAAACAGCAUCACGUCGCCUUCGUGAUAUAAUUCUUGGAUGUUACAGUGCGUCACCGGACAUACACAAAGGAUAACACUAUAUAACCUCAACCCUGUGUUUGUUGACGCCCUCCUGACGUGUACAGACUCAAGAGAGGUUUUCGCUAGCAAUUUCGCACCAGAAAGCCAGAAUUAUGUGAGCUUCUCUGGGUAUUUCUGGUGAGAAUGGCCUCAGUCAGAGUGAGUUACAGCGGUAAAAUUGCGUUAUAGAGAAAAUACCACGUGAGUUUAGAAGGAUUUGUUUUAAGGUCACGUAUGUGAUUAAGUUAGUAAGUGACCAGAAUAUAAUUUUAUUCACGUUGUUUUUCAUUUGCGCAAUGUUGUGUUAUUGCCCAGUGGUUCUACCUGCUGGUGUACCUCGUGAGUUGGUGAUGACAUACAGUAAAUGUGUUGACGUCCACUAAUAGGUGCAGCUGAGGUGUGUUGAAGGUGUAACUAUCUUAGUAUCACACACACACACAAGCAGCAGGUGUUAUACUGUAAUGUCAGGUGUUGCUCGAUGUCUUGUUGUCAGGGGAGAUGGUUAGAGCGUAUUGAAGAUGUGAGGGCGUCUCUUCCCCCCUUCUCCACACGUUAUAUUAAGGGUCUUGGUAGUGUCAAGGUACUGUACAGUUGCCUCCACACGAACGUACCACGGCCUGGGAAUGUGUGAGGCCACAGAUACGAAAUAUGGCAACGCAGCGCCUUAGUCGUGGGCGUGAAACCGUGGAUUACUCUGUUUGUCGGUUGCCCAUAGUUCAGUCCUACUCACUCCGUCUUGGCUACACAACAAUGACGCAUAACACUUGUUACAGGUCUCGUUUAUCUGUUUACCUCCUUUAGUGUUUGUAUGUUAUGGCAGAUGUUGAUGAAAUGUAUCGGAAUGGUGUGAAAGAUAUUCUAAAAUAAUUUUACAUGAAUUUUAAGGUGUAAUAUUAUAAUAAAAGGUAAGUGUUCUUAUGUGUGUGUUACCAGGUCAUUCAUUCAGCCCUGACUACUGCUGUGGUAUGUUCAUGUGGAGGCAACUGUACCCAAGUCAUCGGCCUGUGAUGCUAAGGUGUGUUGAAUUAUUACAUCAGUGUUGCUAAGGUGUGUUGAACCAUCACAUCAGUAUUGCUAAGGCUUGUUGAAUUAUCAUAUCAGUGUUGCAAUGGUGUGUUGAGAGUGUUUAUGAGUGAUUGAGGUGUGUUAGGUGUUUCUUUACACUCUCAGACCGGUGUUAUUAGAGUGUGUUGGUGGCAUCUAGGUACAGUAUGUGUUUACAAUAUCAGACUAAGGUAGGGUGUGUUGUCAGUGUGCCACAUACUACGGAACAAAAGAUGGUAGGAUGCAGGUGUAGGGUGAUCUGUUUGUGUUUCUGUUUGUCUCUACUUCAUGUUAACAGACUAGAGACCCAGGGUGUGUCGAAGGUGUCAAGGUGUCCCACACUCUACUUGACUGGUGUUGGCAGAGAGUGUAAAACUUUAAGUGCUCAUAAAUCUUCAUAAACAAAUAUUAUUACACUCGGGACAAGAGCGAGUGUUUGCACCUCGUUCAGUGAGGGUGUGUCUGUGUGUGUGUCUGCUCGAGGUAUUUGGUUUAUAUUCAUUGUGUAUAAUGUUAUGCAGUAUGAAGGAGUCGCUUCACUGAUUAUAUUUGUGAACAGAAAUAUAUGUACAGAUCUGGAAGCUGAAUUUAUUUGUAAAUUAUGGAAAUACAUACAAUAUAUAUUCUUACCGUUGCUGAGAUAAUGUUAUAUACCCGAGGCUGUCAGUGUAUCAUAAUCAUAAUAAAUUUGUGUACAUGGAA